GUGUGGUGUGUGUGUGUGUGUGUGUGGUGUGUGUGUGUGGAUUUUCCUUUUUGGUUUGUCUCUGCAUGAACUCAACAGAUUCUUCCAAAACAACAACGAUACUGUUUUCCACAUUGCUUCUAAAUAUGAAAACACCUGUCCACACAUCUCUAUUAUAAUAUAAAUAUAAGAACAAAAUGUUUGGCCAGUAUGGCCCUAACAACCUGGUAACUUUAAUAUUAUUCAAACAUUUGGUGACACAGAAAGAAAGGGAACAUUACAGAAAGAAAGGAGAUAUUACUGCACUGUUGGAGCUGGAACACAAGCAUUUCACUACUCUCUCACAUACAUCUGAUAAAUGUGUACGUGACCAAUACAAUGUAGUUUGAUUUGAUUUGUAAAGGAUAUCAUAAAGACCCAAUGUAGGCUACAUCUCAAUCAAUAGAAAAAUGUUUUGCAAAUCUAUUGAAAAUUAAAUACAGAAAUCAAAUUUGCAUAAGUAUUCACACCCCUGAGUCUAUACUUGUAGAAGCACCUUUGGCAGCGAUUACAGAUUUGCUUUGUCUUGGGUUUGUUUGUAUCAGCUUUGCACAUCUGGAUUUGUUUUUUUUUCUCCCAUUCUUCCUUUUCUCACGCUCUGUUAAAUAAGAUGGGGAGAGGUGAAAAACAGCAAUCUUCAAGUCCUUCAAUCCACAGAUUUUCAAUGGGUUCAAGUCUGGGCUUUGGCUGGGCCACUCAAGGACUUUCACAUUCUUGUUCUGAAGUCAUUCCAG
ensembl:lncRNA